GGGCGGGGGCGGGGGCGGGGCUUCAACGGUCCGGGCCGCGCCCUCUGUGACAUCAGCGCCCCCGUUAGCUCGUGCCCGCCGCUGCCGGUGUAGCGUGUUAAACGGCUCCGCGGCGGAAGGCGCUGCCGGCAGCAGGGGAGGAAGCCUCCAGGCCUAUUAUGCAUCCUCUUCCUUAAUCAACUGGUGAGUGAAGGAAUCUAAAUCAACAAUUUCUGCGUAUUUUAAGAUUUCUUUUUAGUGAAGUUUCUGGCUCUUAUGGCUGCUAGGAGAAUCUCUGAAGCAUGAACUGACAUAUUCUGUCCUGCUGAGUGUGCAGCCAGCUUCAGUCUACUGUUUCUCCUGACAUUCCCAAAAAGCGGAAUGAGGUUAACAAGACUCAGGCAAGUUUCUGCCUACAGGAUUCCGAACAACAAUUGUGAAACAGACAAGAACACUGCCAGUUUCACUAUGCUGCAACUAGGGAAAGAUAUGAACAGUGAAAGUACUUACAGGAAAAUGACUAAAAAAGGCUUGGGAAAGAAUAGAGUAGCAAACACCCUUCUUACUCUCCAUCAGCCAAGAGGCUCUGAAGUUGGAGGAUGAGAAAAAGCUCCUUCCAAGCAGCUAGAAAGGGACAACAGUUUUUAAAUCCAUCAGCCAGAGACCAAAAAAAAAAGAACAAGGUGCCAUCUUCUUUUAUGAAUCCCAGUGCCCUCUCUGUUCCCAACAACUGGGGCAGAGUUAUUGGCUUCUCACCUGGCCAUUGUCCACUGACACGUCUGGUGUGUGGGGGCAUUCAUCUUUCAUGCUGCCUAAGCCUAGUUCACUUAGUUCUCUGGCUAGUAAAUACUUAAUAAGUUUUUCAUGCCCAGACAGAGCUUUCCUUUGAGCUUUAUGAAAUAAAAGUGCUAUGUAAGCACUAAAAGUGUCAAUUACAAUUAUUACAGGCAGAAUUAAGUCACAUACUAUGAUCAAAUAUUUUUCCCUUCCAGUUUAGUUUUUGGAUAUAUCUGAUUUGUGUUAGUAUUUAUGAGUGCAUUUUACAACAUUCCUGGCUCGCUUUAGAGGAACCUAUCAAUGGAUUUAGAAUUCUAGAUCCAAAUACUGCAAACACUUACAUGCUUAACUUUACAUAAUCAGCAGUCAAUUCUUCAGUGAGACCCACUUCUGUACAUAAAAUUAUUUUUUUGCAGGACUGCAAUCCAAUCUGUAGUAUCCCUGGCAUGUAGCCAAUUCUGGGACUCAAACUGUCAACCAGGCAACAUUUAGCAGGAUGUUAACAAAUGACAAACAGGGAAUCUGUUAAAGCCAACUCUGCAUUUCAAAAACUCAAAUCAAUAUUUGUGUGCAGAAAGAUGGUCACCUAACGCUUCUGAGAUUUGUGUUUUUCAUCUCUGCAUACUACUAGCUACAUAGUACUCAACACAUUGUUGCGAUGGAAGUUUC